rnacentral:lncRNA from 1 species
CCCCGGGAGAGCCCCCCAAGACACCUGGGGACCCUCAGAGACCCUCAGGAAACCCCAAGGGACACCUGGAGACCCCCAAGAGCUCAGGAGAAACCUGGGGACCCUCAUGGGACCCCCGGACCCCCCAUAAUGUGUGGGACACCCCCCGAUUUUUGGGACCCCACCCCCGUUUUUUCCUCAAUAAACUCGGUUUCUGCCGCGGCCUCGCUGUGCAAUGACGCAGUUUGUGGCGUCACACACCCGCAGAAUUGGGUCACUGUCUCUUUAAGAGCGGGGGCGUGGCCUUGCAGCCAAUCACCGUGCGGCGCGAUGACAUCACCCGCCGAAGGGGCGUGGUUCCUGCCAAGCCACGCCCCCGGGGCGCCCAGGUCCCCCCAAAAAACUUCCCCGGCUCCCCCCGGCCAUGGAGCCCCCCCGAGCGGCGCCCCCUCCCCCCGAGAUGGAAUUUGGGGGGCCCUGGGAGCCCCGGUGACCCCCCAGGACCCCUCCGGGACCUCGGCUGGCUGCUGUUGCUGGGGGGGGCCCUGGGGGGGUCCCUGGCCCUGGGGGUCCCCCUGCCCCCCCUGUGCCCCCUCCUCCCCCCGCUGGCCGCGGCCGCCUCCAGCGUCGCCUUCGGCCUCGCCCUCCUCAUCCUCGCGCGGCGGCGGCUGCGGGCGGGGGGCACCGGACACCCCGUGUAUGAAUUCUUCGUGGGGGGAGGAGCGGGGACCCCCCUGGAGCCCCCCGAGAAUCUGAACUGGGAGCGGGUCGGGCUCUGCGCCUGGGAGCUGAGCGCGAGUCCUGCCCCCGGCCCCGGGGGGUUCCUGGGGCUCUUUGGGGGUCUCGCCUGGGGCCCUUUCGGGGGUCCCCUCCCAGCGCUGCUGCUGCUGAGGAGACCCCAGCAGGGGGCUGGGGGGCGCCGCGGGGGCGGCCUGUGGGGGGCUCUACGGUGGGCACGGGGGCGUACUGGGGGAACUGGGGAGUUCUGGGGGGAUUUGGGGGGGAAUUGGGGGAUACUGGGGGGCACUGG